rnacentral:rRNA from 1 species
CCUACGGGGGACAGCAGUGAGGAAUAUUGGUCAAUGGGCUUACGCCUGAACCAGCCAAGUCGCGUGAGGGAAGACUGCCCUAUGGGUUGUAAACCUCUUUUGUCAGGGAGCAACGCCGGCUACGUGUAGCCGGACUGAGAGUACCUGAAGAAAAAGCAUCGGCUAACUCCGUGCCAGCAGCCGCGGUAAUACGGAGGAUGCGAGCGUUAUCCGGAUUUAUUGGUGUAAAAGGGUGCGUAAGCGGAAUGCCAAGUCAGCGGGAAAAUCGCGGGGCUCAACCCCGCUCCGCCGUUGAAACUGGCGUUCUUGAGUGGGCGAGAGGUAUGCGGAAUGCGUGGUGUAGCGGUGAAAUGCAUAGAUAUCACGCAGAACUCCGAUUGCGAAGGCAGCAUACCGGCGCCCAACUGACGCUGAAGCACGAAAGCGUGGGUAUCGAACAGGAUUAGAUACCCGAGUAGUC